AUGGAGGGACAUGAAAAUUUGGGGUUUGGUUUCUUUGUAAUUGGUUUAUGGAACUUUUUCAAUCACAUCAAACUCCAUUUUCUUUCUUCUUCUCUCAAAUCCUACCCAUCAACCCUAUGGUUUCCAUCCAAAUUAACUAGAUACAUGGAGCUUUAUUUCAUUAUUGCAACUGGCAUAAUCUUCAUAGCCAUGGAAGCUUUUCAUCUAUUCUCUUCACCUCCAACCAUCUGA